rnacentral:rRNA from 1 species
UACAGAGGGGGCAAGCGUUGUUCGGAAUUACUGGGCGUAAAGCGUGCGCAGGCGGUUUUGUAAGCCAGAUGUGAAAGCCCCGGGCUUAACCUGGGAAUGGCAUUUGGGACUGCAAGGCUUGAGUGCGGCAGAGGAGACUGGAAUUCCUGGUGUAGCAGUGAAAUGCGUAGAGAUCAUGAGGAAGACCAGUGGCGAAGGCGGGUCUCUGGACAGUUCCUGACACUGAGACACGAAGGCCAGGGGAGCAAACGGG